GCUUUUUUUUUUUUUAGUGAACUCGGCAAGUUACCUUGAUCAUGCAGAAAUGCCCACAAGAAUCAUUGCUGGAAAGUGGGCAAUGUGGAUUAGGUCUUAUACAAUGCCAACACGAAAAUCUGAUCCACCACAUAUCAGCUGAAUUUAACUAAGGUUUAACUUGGAAAUUGUUUAGGCCUCUAGGAGAGAGAGGGAAAAAAAUAAAGGAGUGAUAUACUAAAAUAUGUAUAGGAAUUUCUAUGAACUGUUUAAGUUGCCUUUGUGUAUGAUUCAGAUGCUAGAGUAUAAAGCAUACUAGACCUGCAAGGCCAUAGCAUAUGUUGCUCUAUAAAUUAAUAUGCUGUAAUUUCUACAUGUCUGAUGUAUCGUCUUGUAUUGGUAUUUUU
rnacentral:misc_RNA from 1 species